rnacentral:rRNA from 1 species
UACGUAGGUGGCAAGCGUUGUCCGGAAUUAUUGGGCGUAAAGCGCGCGCAGGUGGUUCCUUAAGUCUGAUGUGAAAGCCCACGGCUCAACCGUGGAGGGUCAUUGGAAACUGGGGAACUUGAGUGCAGAAGAGGAAAGUGGAAUUCCACGUGUAGCGGUGAAAUGCGUAGAGAUGUGGAGGAACACCAGUGGCGAAGGCGACUUUCUGGUCUGCAACUGACACUGAGGCGCGAAAGCGUGGGGAGCGAACAGG